GACGAACGCUGGCGGCGUGCUUAACACAUGCAAGUCGAACGCUGAAGCUUGGUGCUUGCACUGGGUGGAUGAGUGGCGAACGGGUGAGUAAUACGUGAGUAACCUGCCCUUGACUCAGGGAUAAGCCUGGGAAACUGGGUCUAAUACUGGAUAUGACAUGCCACUGCAUGGUGGUGUGUGGAAAGGGUUUUACUGGUUUUGGAUGGGCUCACGGCCUAUCAGCUUGUUGGUGGGGUAAUGGCCUACCAAGGCGACGACGGGUAGCCGGCCUGAGAGGGUGACCGGCCACACUGGGACUGAGACACGGCCCAGACUCCUACGGGAGGCAGCAGUGGGGAAUAUUGCACAAUGGGCGGAAGCCUGAUGCAGCGACGCCGCGUGAGGGAUGACGGCCUUCGGGUUGUAAACCUCUUUCAGCACGGAAGAAGCGAGAGUGACGGUACGUGCAGAAGAAGCGCCGGCUAACUACGUG
rnacentral:rRNA from 1 species